AGUGUGCACACAGUGACUACUACUCUUGUCUGUGGGCAGCAGCAGAAAUUCUGUGGGUUUUAUCCAGUUUCCCCAUCUGAUCAUAGCCUAAUCCUCUCCUGUGUCAUCACCUCACAAGUCCAGCAUGAAGGGGUUAAGGCUUUUUAGCAGGGUAUAUGUUAGUGUUUUUCUUGGAUUUAACUGAAAAAUUUCUCAUGCAAAUCAUAAAUGUGAAACCUUUCUAGAUUUGCCCUUUUGCUAUCUAAGUGUCCAGCUGGGUUUGGUUUUACUUUGUGCAGCUGUCGAUACUUCCAAAGUUUAGGGAAGUGUAACAGCUUGGAGAUCUGUGUCUAAAAAGUUUAUACUGAGUGUACCCCUCCUUGAAGAUUUAUCACAACACUAAAGUCAGCAGAGAAUUGCCCUGAGGCUAAGCAAAAACCAGCCUAAAAUACAAUGAUUGUGAAUUGUUAAAUAAAACAGAACAAGAUGAAUGUGAAGUGUCGCCAUGAUUCAGAAGACACUUCCUGUUGGAGAGAGAAUAAGGGGAGAGGAAGACUUCCUGCUCAAUGAAAUUACGGAUCAGAAAUUUAAAGCAAAGAGAAUAACAUGCUUUCAUUUUCCUUGGCCUGGAAGGUAUCAACAUGUACUUACAAAAGAGUGAAGUAGGAAAUGGCACAGAAGAAAUAACAAUCAGAAAGUAAUGAGUUUUUUCAGAGUAAUUUUUCUUAAAUAUACAUUUCUUGCAUUAUUCAUAUUUGUUUAGCAACAUGAAUUAUGCUAACUGCUUAUAUCUAAUUACUUCGUUUGAAAGCACCACCUUCUGCAUAAUGCCCUUAAGCUCCGAUUGUGCAAGGAUUUAUGUAUGUUUUUAACUUAAUGUACCCUGGACCUUAUUCCUAGUUAAACUGAGGCCUUUUUACAUCAAUGUAAUGAAUGUAAAUGCACUUGACGACUACUUUUAGACCAGUCUUGCUACUAGACCAUUUUAGAGAAACCAGAGAGUGAGUAAAUAAAUCAUAGACCCUGUGAGUA